rnacentral:rRNA from 1 species
AUUGAACGCUGGCGGCAUGCUUUACACAUGCAAGUCGAACGGCAGCACGAAAGAGCUUGCUCUUUUGGUGGCGAGUGGCGAACGGGUGAGUAAUGCAUCGGAACGUACCGAGUAAUGGGGGAUAACUAUCCGAAAGGAUAGCUAAUACCGCAUACGCUUUGAGAAGGAAAGUGGGGGCUCUUCGGACCUCACGUUAUUCGAGCGGCCGAUGUCUGAUUAGCUAGUUGGUGGGGUAAAGGCCUACCAAGGCGACGAUCAGUAGCGGGUCUGAGGGGAUGAUCCGCCACACUGGGACUGAGACACGGCCCAGACUCCUACGGGAGGCAGCAGUGGGGAAUUUUGGACAAUGGGCGCAAGCCUGAUCCAGCCAUGCCGCGUGUCUGAAGAAGGCCUUCGGGUUGUAAAGGACUUUUGUUAGGGAAGAAAAGGAUAGUGUUAAUUCCAUUAUCUGGGGACG